AUUCAAAAACGUUUUCGGAUUUUUCCAGAUUAAUCUAAUUUUUGCACCAGCAGUAUAUACAAAUAAUUUUGUCUUUACAUUAUACUGUCUAGUGAAAUUUCGGAAAAUGUUUAGUUAUCUGGUUGUUGCACACCGUCGUCUUUAAUAUUUCCUUCAGUGCGAGCAAUAUAAUUAAAAAUAAUAUUGUUACAGCUGAAAAAUAAAACAAUAACCUUCGAUUUAACAUCAUGUUAACAUCAUAAUAUCACAUUAAAUAAUGUUAUUGUUCCCACGCAAUAAUAUUAUAACACACAAUACUGUGAUAAUGAAAUUAAAUACUGAAAUAAGUAAUAGGUAUAUACUGUCAAAACCGUACAAUUAUAACCGUUACAGGUAGAUUUUCUUGGAAACGUGAAGAUUAUUAACUAUGCAGGUAUAAUACCUAAUAACAAUGUUAUUUCCCUUCAAUUUACCACAGUAUUUGCAGUAAACUUUAUUUCCGCUGUUGAUAACAAUAUCAUAGACAAUUAAAACAUAUUAUGUAAAUGUAUAAUCAUAGUUACACGGUGCAUAUUGUACAAUAUAUUUGGGUGAGAAAAUAUGUACAAUGCAAUGAAGGUAGAUUAUAUAUAUAUAUAUAUGUAUAU